GGAGUAGCCUCAGGUGCUACCAGCUGCCACCACUGGCUGCCUGUGUGAGGAGCCAGACAGAAGAUGACUAAAGAACCAACCCAGUUCACCAUGGACACAUUGGAACAACACCCAAAACACAAGAUUACUCUCUCUUUCACAGGGGUUGUUGACAGUCCAGGUGGUGACCUACUAUCACACAGAUUGUCUCAUACAUCUCGAUCACCAACCAUCCUUUGCGAUGGACUGGCUGGAAGACUCCAUCUUAUGGGAGAAAUCUGAUAGUGGAUAA